rnacentral:lncRNA from 1 species
UUUUUUUUUGUCCUGAGAAAAUUAUAUGGUACUGCAAAAUGUAAAUUUAGGGUAAUGAGUAUAGAGGAAGUGGGCAAAAAAGGGUGAUAAUUGUUGACAGAAGAUAGAGAGCACUGAUGAUGAUAUGCUAAUUAAAUUUGUGCAGCAAAAGCAUCUCAAUUCAUUUGUGCUCUCUAUGCUUCUGUCAUCACCUUCAGCCAACUAUCCCUCUCUUCUCUUAACUUCAUCUAAUUUUCCUCUUUUCAUUCGUCUGUUUUCUUGAAAUUUAUUUCACAUUUUGUAUAUGUAGUUAAUGUUGGUUCUUCAAGAAACAGCUUCUCUUACCCUCGGCAGAGGCAAAGUCUGCCCCUCCUCAGACUUCUCUUGUGAAAUUAUAGUGGGUUGUUAUUAUAUAUGUAUUUUAUGUAUAUAGUCAAAUUCUAGAUGUUUCUCAUCCCAUGACAUAUUUCUUUUAUCUGCUAGUAUAUAGGUUCUCAUUUUCCGGGGAUUUCUCUAAGAUGAAAGCAAAAAUUCUAUAAAAUGAAAGAUUUUGAAAUCUAUUUGCAUGAUUAAUUUACAUAAUUGGAGAUUCCUUUUGCGGCUGUCUCUUGCUUUGCAAACUUGUUAGAAGCAAAAUCUGAAAGUGAAAGUUAUUUCUCAUGAUUUACCAUAAUUCGAUUGUUUAUAUAUUUUUCUCUUUAUGUUUCACCAGAUUAUUGACUUUCUAACUGUUUGAUUAAUUCUUGAGUUCUAUACUUACUCUAUCUUGUGAGUUCACCUAUGCUUUUGCAGCUAUUGCUAGAUCCAAAGCUCCUCGCUUUGACAAGCACUCAAAGGACAUUUCUGAGGAAUGAGAUGUUAAUUAAGCUACCUUUACAUGUAAACCCUCUACUCUUUCUCUCAAUUUUGUAAUAAUUCAAGUUACAAUAUAUAUAUAUGUGUGUGUGUNNNNNNNNNNNNNNNNNNNNNNNNNUAUAGAGUAAUUAUAUGGUGGAACGAUUUCUAUGGCUCAUUGUGUGUUUGUAUUUUCUAACACUUGUUCCAGAGGUAUUCAGAGUGGCGGGUUAAGGAUCUUACUGGUUAUAUUUACGUAUAACUCACUCCUUACCUGCAUGUCUAUGCAAAUACUAUUGGUGAAGACAGAGCUAGUAGCUAACGAGUUCGCUAGAGUUAAUUUAGUUAUUGAGGUUAGCCGCCGCAUUAUUCGUGGAGGCUGCCAAAAGAGUCUUUAUUAUUUAUUCAUAUGAUAUCUUUUGUAAUUCUCUUAGAUGCUCCAUGGUUUAGUGUACGAUUUGGACUAGAGUUUCAGUGUAAUAUUUUGAGAUAUUAAUUGUUCAUAAUUAAUUAUCAG